GGCGGCGGUAGAGAGGUGCGGAGAGCAGCAGCAGCCGCCGCGAGUGGAGAUCAGCUGAGGAGGAGUGGAUCUCCGCUGUGGUUUGGGCGAAAGGCGGCGAUCGAGAGGCGCGGAGAGACGACAUCGUGCAGCAGCUGAAGCCAUCGGAGCGAGCCUCGACGAGAGACCCGGACGACGCCAGGAACGACGUGAGCUCUGUACACAACGCUGCUCUGCAAGUCACUGCCAUGGAGAUGAGCAACGCUGAAGGUGGAAGAAAUGGCGGGUCUUGCGACACUGCGGUUACUUCCUCCAUCCGGAGAAGAUCACCCAAA